rnacentral:misc_RNA from 1 species
GGAAACACUAUAUUGUAAUACCAUAGGCAAUAACAGAUCUGUUGCCAAGAUUAAGGAACACUCAGCUUGUCUUGUUACAUAUUCGGUGCACUUAUUUUAUGAAUACAAAUACAGCAACAGACCCAGUGUGAAGUCUGGAGAAGGUAGUAGAAUGAACGCGGAUCUUACCCCGUCUUGUUUGAGGUAGAGAGGUUGUUUAUGACAGACUCUCAUUUCAAGAAAAACGUUUUUAGAAUUGAAAAAAGUAGUAGGAAAGCUCGGACUAGAAAUCUCUUCCUGAUCAGCUUCAAAUAGACAGUGUAGAAGAAACAAUCAUCCGCGAUGCUUCAAGCAUAAUGCAGCGUCUGGUUUCCUAACUCCUGUGUCACAUAUUCGACUGCAGGACAGGUUUUCUGCCCGAUUGAGUAAUUUUACUUCCUAAAGUAUUUCUUUGCUUCUGCACCUUCUCCUUAUAACCAGCGAGGGUUGAUUGUACUUCCUCGAAAUGAGGUGCCAUGGCAUUCUUCGUAUCAUCAAGCCACUUCAGAACUCUCUUGAAUGGGCCUAAUAUCCGCUCACGAUCCUUCUCAUC